AGCGUAGGCGGACUUUUAAGUGAGAUGUGAAAUACCCGGGCUCAACUUGGGUGCUGCAUUUCAAACUGGAAGUCUAGAGUACAGGAGAGGAGAAUGGAAUUCCUAGUGUAGCGGUGAAAUGCGUAGAGAUUAGGAAGAACACCAGUGGCGAAGGCGAUUCUCUGGACUGUAACUGACGCUGAGGCUCGAAAGCGUGGGGAGCAAACA
rnacentral:rRNA from 1 species